GUGUCAGCCGCCGCGGUAAUACGUAGGCAGCAAGCGUUGUUCGGAGUUACUGGGCGUAAAGGGUGUGUAGGCGGUCUACUAAGUCUGGUGUGAAAUCUCCCGGCUCAACUGGGAGGGUGCGCCGGAAACUGGAAGGCUAGAGUGCGGGAUGGGAGAGUGGAAUUCCUGGUGUAGCGGUGAAAUGCGUAGAUAUCAGGAGGAACACCUGUGGUGUAGACGGCUCUCUGGACCGCAACUGACGCUGAGACACGAAAGCGUGGGUAGCAAACAGGAUUAGAUACCCUUGUAGUCC
rnacentral:rRNA from 1 species